GGUCUGUCAAUGCAAGUUCAAUUGGGAAUAGCUCAGCAUCAGGAUCAGGCAAGCAGCACACACAUUGGAAUGAAAUGUGCCAUGAAGCCCAGGGCGACGUUGUUUGCGACUAGAUCCGCUUGCUUGAUGAUGCUUCCAUCCAGGUUACUGCCAUUGCAAGUGCACUUAGGAUUCUUCCAUGACUUUCUGGGCCUUUGGAUAUUCUUCGAUGAUGCCAGGACUAGACCCUAGUUCCUAUUCUUCUCACUGGAAGCAUGUACUGUGUGAAUCCUAUCACUGCAAGAGCUACGGUCCCUCCACUCGUCAGGGUCUGGAUUGAGUUAUGUGGAACUUUGAGCUGGAAUUCGUUGGGUUAACCAGUUUUGGGUCCAUUGCGUGGGCUACAGCUUUCCAUAGUAGCACAACCCUCACUACGAUGCGAGACUGGGAUUUGGAGAAGCCCGAGUGUCCUAGAUUACUUUGUCUCGCACCAGCUGCGGAGAUUUCUACGAGAGUUUCUAGCAUCCAUCGAUUUGAGUGGUGAUUUGCAAUGCAAGGAAUGAUGUCGCUCACAUCAUCCACAAUCCGGAGCGCUAGGCGUGGGUGUCAACACCAGUCUAACUGGGGUACUAGAUCAUUUGGCUGAUUAUAUCACGUUCAAUAUGGAUCGCAAUGUCGAGACUGGGCAAGAAUGUUUCAUGCCUUUGAAUUUAGAAUGCUGCACCCUAGAAACGCUUGUUUUUAGCAAGUUCGGCGAUCGUGUUUGAAAGGAUGCAGUGGCAACCAUGUCUUAGGAUUGCUGCAAUCUCCAGCUAUUUGGUUUGAUCGUAGCCAAUAACUCCUUCCAAAUACAAAGGUCGUAGCCAAAUACUCAACUGUUUCAAGUCUUGCACAUAAAGUUAAUUCUUUCUUUGGAUAUCUCAUUAGCUGCCCUUCGUGUUAGAAUCUAUUUGUAUCCAUUGUUGCGAUUCGUCUGACACGUUGAUAGAUACUGAUUGUUACGUCGGAGAUCAUUCCGACACAUGAUGCAUAUUCAGCGAAAAAAAACCUAUUGAAAA